rnacentral:rRNA from 1 species
UACGGAGGGUGCAAGCGUUAAUCGGAAUUACUGGGCGUAAAGCGUGCGCAGGCGGUUUUGCAAGCCGGAUGUGAAAUCCCCGGGCUCAACCUGGGAAUGGCAUUCGGGACUGCAAGGCUGGAGUGCGGCAGAGGAGACUGGAAUUCCUGGUGUAGCAGUGAAAUGCGUAGAUAUCAGGAGGAAUACCGAUGGCGAAGGCAGGUCUCUGGGCUGACACUGACGCUCAUGCACGAAAGCGUGGGUAGCAAACAGG